UCCAAAAUAUGAUGCAGAUCAAUGUAAUUUACCACAUGGGGAAAUGGCAAAUUACCUUGCAAACCAUACAGGAUUUUAUAGAAUUGAUGAAAGUGAUGUUGGAGGACUACUAGAUUCUGUGUGAAGCUGUUGAAAAGCAUGGCUGUCCAAAGGAAGAUUGAAGAAGGUUUCAGCAUAUUCCGUACCUGAAGCCUCAUUCUGUUAUUGGUCAAGGCUUGGAUAGCCUCAGCUGUCCAUCCCAGGCACUCUCCAGCCUUACGGAACUAGAAUCACAAAGGUGAGAGUGGAAAGGGGACCUGAAGAUUGGAGAUUGAAGGGCAUCUUGGAGAUGAUCAGCUGUUUCAGGGUGAAGUUGAAAAUCUUCUUCCCAGUCACCAGCUGCCGGAAACUCAUUGAAGUGGAUGAUGAAUGGAAACUUCAUAUCUUUAUGAGAAAGAGAAGAAGAAUCAGACUGUGAAGUACAUAAUUUACAACCUGGGAUGAAGAGAAGAUAAUCACUACUAAUAAGAUUGACAUUUUAGUGGACUGGAUUAUCCACUCAUUUUCAAUUAAGUUUCCAUAUGGCAAAUUGAAGCUGACCCUGUUACAAUUAGAAAGCUACGUCGAAGGAAGGAGGCCAUAAAUAAUGUGAGAGAAAUUGUAUUUCGAGCAUUAUGUACUUAGACUUAUUGAAAAAGAAAGGAAGAAAUGGAGAGUUGUUAUAAUACAUUGGAUAAAAUAGGCAGUUUAUUAUCUAAAUAAUUAUAAACUCCUCUCCUACCAUAGGUCUUAUUUGUUCCAGUUGCCUGGAUAAUUGAUGCAUUUUACCUGUGUAGGCUGUGAAGACAUUUUAUUUGGAUGCUAAAUAAGUAUUUUAACAAGAUUUAAUUGUUAUUAAGAGGCA